rnacentral:SRP_RNA from 13 species
GCCGGGUGCGGUGGCAUGUACCUGUAAUCCAAGUCACUGGGAGGCUGAGGUUGGUGGAUCAAGUGCGCUGAGGAGCUCUGGGCUGCAGCACGCUAUGUCGAACGGGUGUCCACGCUAAGUUCGUUAUCGAUAUGGUGUUCCUGGGGGAGCCCGGGACCACCAGGUUGUCUAAGGAGGGGUGAACCGGCCCAGGUCGGAAACGAAGCAGGUCAAAUCCCCUGUGCUGUCCAGUAGUGGGAUAAUACCUGUGAGUAGAUGCUGCAGUGCAGCCUUGGCAAAACAUCGAGACCUAAUCUUUU